rnacentral:pre_miRNA from 1 species
GUGGCUGCCGGCUGGGUGCCUUCUACUAGUGCUGUGCAGAGGCUUUCCCUAAGGCUGCUGUGAGCCUGGUAGGUUUCCCCCUAGGCUACGGAGCUGG